rnacentral:misc_RNA from 1 species
GAUGAAGAACGUAGCGAAAUGCGAUACGUAGUGUGAAUUGCAGAAUUCAGUGAAUCAUCGAAUCUUUGAACGCACAUUGCACCUCUCGGUAUUCCGGGAGGUAUGCCUGUUCGAGCGUCAUUUGUACCCUCAAGCUCUGCUUGGUGUUGGGUGUUUGUUCCGCCUCUGUGUGUGAACUCGCCUCAAAACAAUUGGCAGCCGGCGUACUUGUUUCGGAGCACAGCACAUUUUGCGAUCCAGAUCAACGUACAGCGGCAUCCAAGAAGCCUUAUUUAACGCUCUUGACCUCGGAUCAGGUAGGGAUACCCGCUGAACUUAAGCAUAUCAAUAAGCGGAGGA